UCGCUUCAGCAGCACAUAUAUUACAAUUUCAGCCAUACAGAGAAGAUUAGCAAGGCCCCUGUGCAAGGAUCACACGCAAAUUCAUGAAGCGUUCCAUAUUUUU